GCUGCCAGACACUGGGGCGAGCUGGCAGAGGCGGGGCGGGUGGUGGUUUCCUCAGAGUUUUUCCCUUGAGGGUGGACUCUCCCUGUGGGGAAGGACACCGAGUGUGUGUCUCGCCUUCGCUGCCACCUCCUUAUUCCCUGACUAUCCUCUUGCGAGGAGGAGGUUCGUCAUCUUCGUCGUCGCAUCCAGCAGCUGCUACAGCCAGUGCCACGUGCCUUGUAAGGAACCCACAACACUAAUGACAUCAUUCAUAUGCCAUAAACUUCUCAGCAAUUCCUAAGGUUACCCACAUAGCUUCCAGUUAUUAAAAUAUCAGUAGCUACUUGAAGACAAGAACUAUAUCAUUCUUAUAAAACCUUCAGCAAUGUACUGUGAUCAUUGACUGAUACAUGGCAUCAUGGAAAUCAAUCCAAAUCAAUUGGUAAAGAUCUAAUUCAAAUGCAUACUUUUAAUGACUGCUUACGAUUCCAUGUUGUGGAUAUGCUGCAGUUUAUUCAACUCUUCACAAAUAGGUCCUUCUGAGUCUUUCCCAUGCUACGCGGAAGCCAAACACAGCCCAGGGGCAUUAACUCGGACUUUGAGCUUAACUCUGCUAAGUGGCCACUGCCAGAAAAGGGGUGCUGAGGACACUGAAGAGAUUCCAUGCUAAGUGCUGGCGGUAUCAAAUAAGACACAGGCUUGUACUCUGAAGAUGAGUUUCUGCCAUCGCAAAGACUAUAUGGAAACGGGAGAUAAGGGUAUUAAAAAAGGACACCUAUUUGAAAUCUUGUAGCAACACCUGUGGCCUCUCGUUGUAUAGAUAGAAUUUUAGGCAUAUUAGAACGGAAUUCUGCACUUUUUUUGCCGAUCCAAGAGGAACAUUAUCUACUCUCAUUGUACAAAAGAGACCUCUAAGUUGAAGAUGUUGAAUCAGUUGCAAGAAUUACAGGCUACCUGCUUGCUGCUGGUCUGGGAUGUGGCUGCUUAAAGAGUGAAAUCUCAUGACAUGCAGUGGUUAUACCCAGGUGCUGGUGUGAAUGGUCACUCUCCUGCCUGGCUGGAAGGUCCCUGGAGUGGGAUCUGUGGCAGCAGAAUUCUCCCAUUCUCUGGGUGCUGAGGAUACGGAUGUUACUGGAGAAGGAUGCUGUGGAUUGACAAGUCAGCCAGAGGGAUCAUUCACUCUGAGAAAGCCAGCUGCCACAUCAUGAAGACCCUCUGACUGUUCUAUGAAGAAACUCCCAUGACAAGGAUCUAAGGCCUUGUGCCAAAAGCCAUGAGAGGGAGCAUCUUGGAACUGAUCCUCUAGACCCAGCCUUCACGGGACUGCAGACUGCAAGGCAACAGCUUAACUGGGAGGCCCUGAGUUGGAACCACCCAACUACCCAACUGUGCUGCUCUGGGAUCCCUGACCCUCAGAGACUUGCCUUCAGUGUUGGUGCUAACUGCACGUCCUGGCCACCCGAUGGAUGCCGUGUGGUUCCUGAGAAAGCAUCUGUAAGAGGAGGCACUACCCAUUCACCAGCCCACUGGCUCUCACCAUUUAUGGAAUUGCCUUGGCUACUCAAGGGAACAGAUGUUCCCUGGGGUUGUGACCCACUGCUCCUGCAUUUAGCCUCCUGGCUGGCUGCUUGCUUGCUUGGACUCAGCCCAGUACAGAUGGCAUCACUGCUAAAUCAGAGAGGAUGACACUCGGUUUCCUGGUCCUCCUUCAAGUUGCUACUUUGCUGGCACUCAGAGACCUCUAACUCCUUAUGGAAGGUGUGAUAUUGCGGAGAAAGGAAGUAACACCAGUGUGAGUUAAAAGGUCAAGGUGUUCCCAGUCUUGGAACACUGGGGUGUGGUUCUCUGCAAAAUAUUGCUGUUGUCAAGCUGUCUGCCUGUGAGACUACAUAGGACAACAGGGAGCUUUUUGCUUAUCAUCUUUCAAAGGAUCCAGCAUUAAAGACACUCCAUCAGAAGCAGUGAAACAUUUAGUGCCGCUGUCUUACCCCUGUGGCUCACUAGGGGACCCAGCCUGGGUACUUUAUUACCUUCUAUGCAGAUAUAUUGAAAUGAGAUGCUUAUUACCCUAGGUACAUAUGCUCAUUCACUCUCUGGGCUGGAAUUGUCUUCCUAAGGGUCAUAAGGGAACAAUUUUUCUCUCUUAAUGCUCCCAGAUUUGCAAGAUUUUAACUCUACAUGGCUUUAUGACAUGUAUUUAGCUUAAAGGCAGGUAAAACAAAUUAAAAAAAAAAAAACUUGCACCACUAGAGAAGAAAGGAAAAAGCAUUAAAAUAUAAGCAGACAAUUUACAAUGUAGGAAGAAGAGUAGAAUUUCUUUUGUUGCUGAUGGCCUAUGUAGUACUUCUUUGAAUGUCCCUUUCUAUGGACUGAAGCAAUUGCUCAUUUGUACUGAGGAAAGGUGCUUCAGAUUAAUUUUGGAAACUUCAAUACCGCACUGUGCUAAAUUUUAAUUAUUUCACUUCCUGCUUGGUAUAUUAAUGUUGUGAUUACCCUUGAAAGUGUAUUACCAAUGAUGAUUUAUGCAAAACCCAGCUAGCUCCACAGCUCCGUCAGUUUCAAUUAAGACCAGCCACAGAGGAAGUGGGCUAUGGUCGUGUUGGCUGCAGACCAUCAUUAUGCUCACAAGCAGGUACGGUCCGUUUGCUUAAAGCAUUACCUUUGUUUAUCCUUCUGGAACCAUCUCUCCCAUGGCACGACUAACCACUGAGAGAGGAAACUGUAUGUAGCAAUUUGGUCUGCUGGCCUUGGAUCCAAACUGAAUCUGGCCAGGAAAAUGAAUUUUAUCUCUGCUUCUCUGCUUAUAUAGGACAUUUUAGGCCA